AAAACUUUCAACAACGGAUCUCUUGGUUCUGGCAUCGAUGAAGAACGCAGCGAAAUGCGAUAAGUAGUGUGAAUUGCAGAAUUCAGUGAAUCAUCGAAUCUUUGAACGCACAUUGCGCCCCUUGGUAUCCCGAGGGGCAUGCCUGUUCGAGCGUCAU
rnacentral:rRNA from 3 species